GUGUUUGCUUUAGCAGCACAUACACUAAAAUUGGAACAUACAGAGAUUAGCACGGCUCCUGUACAAGGAUAAUAUGCAAAUUUGUAAAGUGUUCAAUAUUAAA
ensembl:snRNA U6 U6 spliceosomal RNA